AAAUUAAAUGUUUUAAUUUAUUGAAGCUUUUAUGCGUUCCCUUGUUGGUAUCCACAAGCCGUGACGACUGCAGUGGUACCGAAAUAUGCAGAAAACAAGAAAAUGAUAAACAGUUUUUGGAAUUUAUCACUGACCUUAAGCAAAAGGCAGCGAAGUUGGAAAGUUUGCCAAAAAGAUUCAAAAGGAACGAAGAAAAGGAAAACUUUUGGUCGAUGUGUCAACUUUACAAUAAGAAUUU